CACAGCAGAGCAGGACAGCAGCUAAACGUAGAGGUUAUAAAGAGCUUAUUAAAGAUAAAGGGGAGAAAAGAUUGCUGAAAGAGAAGAAGUGUAGGAGAGCUAAGCUAUAAAGCUGAGGAAGGUUGAGGCAUCGGCUUGCUUGUUUAGGCAGUUUUUAUUACACAGCAGUUAUCUAUUAGACAUAAACAGUGUUGCAUUUAGUUCUCUUUUUUUUGCUCUGUAUUUCAGUAGCUGUGGAAAGGGAAUAAUCAGUUACAGUAAAAUUUGUCUUAAGACAUUACAGUGGGUAAAUACUUGAUAAUAUGAAACUGUGUUCCAAUGAACUGAUAAUACAAGUAAUGUAUAUCAUUACUCAUUCACAGAAUUACACAAUCUUUUACCCAUUACUGCCAUGGCUGAAGCACUCCCCCACGAACGCAAUGGAGCUUGGUUUCUUUGUUUGUUAGUGGCUAAUGUCCCUGACAGCUUCAGUGAAGAAAAGUCUGAUUAAGAAUGGAGAGCGUCAAGAUGAGGAGAGUGUUGGUGGGAGGCAUAGAACAGAAGCCUUGCGACAGCUGUGUAAAAUGAAUCUGUCUCAGGCCCUCAAAGUGCGCAGCAUGGUGACCAUAGUUUUGGAGACACAUCAAUUGAUUGGAUGUUCACUUAUUGAUUAAUUCACACACCUAUGAUAGGGGCAUGGUUUGGUGGUGGUUGUUUGGUGGGUCUCCAAAAGCUUAAAGAAAACCCAAAGGAGCGGUCAUGAACAUACAUACCUUCACCAAUGCCAGUUAGUGCACUGAAAGACACUGAGAGUUUAGACUCUGAUGAACAACUGUGCCAGCGUGUUGAAAGCACCAUCAUUGAAAUCAUUAACAUGAGCGUCACAGGAGUGUAGAAAUAUUUGUGUAUAUCAUCCUUUUUUCUGCUGUAUAAAUGUGCAGAGUGGAAGAGGCAGAGAGAGAGAGGCUUGCAGUUGGGAUCUUCUGAGACCCUGAGGUUGUAUUUCUUUAUAAUGACUUGAUAAUAAGAAAGCUUUAAAAUAAAGCUUAAACCUGUUUAGUGCUAUUACUCAAAGCAUUGGUCAAGUUGGUUAUAAGUUGGGUUAUGGCAUUUUCAUCUUGAUUUUGGAAGGUGAAAGAUACAGCAGUGUCUGUACAGACCAUGGAGUUAUUAUUGGCAUCUGCUGAAUUGUGGGAAUGAAUGAAGAUCUGAUGCACAAAAAUGUUUCACUGGUAAUAUGCUAAUAUUUAACAUACACCACAUCUCAUGCUUUGGAUUACUGGAAAUACUCACAGGAGAGAGGCUUAAAUAUUUGGUUAUGUACAUUUUUAAAGAAAUAAAAGUGACAAAUGUGGUGUAUGUUCACAAUCUUCGGGCAAAAUAGAUAUAAUUCUAAAUGGUGGAUUUCACAGUGUUGUUUCAAGCCCUAUUAAAUUGGACAGCAUACCUGCCUCGUGGAAUACAGUUUUCUAUUUAGCCAACAUCUUUAGAAGCUGACUGUUGCUUUUCUUAGGGGACUUAGCUUUCAACACUAAACCAAAAACACUUGUGUGCUGGUAAAUCCAUUAUCUUGUACAAAGGGACAUUACCCUUACUGUAUCUAAUGUAAGAAAAUCAUUCACCAUAAAUAUCACCCUGCUGAUCUAUGAGCUUGGCUUCCAGUUGUAUCUAGGAAAGCAAACAAGCAUUCAUCCCUAAAUCUCUUUAAUUGGCCUUUCAGUCUGAGCCCCAGUGGGGAGCAGGUAUACAGUUUUAGAAACUAUUGCUCAAAGUAUAAAACAUUGGCCAGUGAUCUUCUUUGCUGUUAUAGAAGGAGAAAAAGCAAUAGAAAUGACGGCUCUAAAACAAGUAAUGAUUAAAAGGGAAAGGAACAGAACAUAGAAAAAGAAGGCAAGAGAAAGGGAUACUAUGAGAUUGGGAUCUUAUUUAAUGUCCAUAGAAUUAUUACAUCAGCUCUGACUGCGCAGGAUACAGUUUUUACUGAAGCUUCUAAAUCUAAUUUUAGAUGUCCAAGUUUAUCUCAAGGCAAACUUUAUAUGAUGGCAAUGCAAUUUUUUUUUUUUUUAAUUUAUGUAAAAUUAGUUUUUUCUUAUAGGUAAUUCUGCACAAGGAGCAUUAUUUAUUUGCAUAUUUGUAUUUUGUAUAUGAGCUGGAGCAGCCACAAAUUCUCUUGUUCAUACCCUUCACCCAAAGGCUCAGAUCUGCCAUUCAACUGUCAGAUUACUGUGCAGAAUGAUAUUUGAGCAGUGUUUUCAAGCUUUUCAAACAACUUUUAGACUAAGCAUCAUGUGGAAUUAUUCACCCUUGUUUUUUUCUACUCAAGGAAUUAAUAAAAUGUUCCUUUAA